AAGCUUGACUACCAGCUUAAGAUUUGUUUAAAAAAGCAAUUGUAUUUAUAAAAAAAGUUAUAUUUGAUAACCAUACUUUUUUCAUGUGUAUUUUCAGUUGAAGAUGAAUUGAAAGAGUUAAGAGCUCACAAUCGAUGCAACUGGUCAAUUGAAUGGGUCGUAGGCAAAGGGGACGGUUUAAUCCGUAGCAGGCAAGGAUAAAUGGAAGCGGACAACAAUGAUUUUGGGACAUUUUAUGUCAUUAUAUAUUAUAUUACCACCAUUAAUGGUAACCAGCAUUUUGGAUGAUCUCAGUCGUAUAAAGUCUUUAACUUUUGAUCCCAGUCCUAUAAAGUCCUCAACUUUUGAUCUCAGCCAUUUAAAUUACCUAAAAUCCUUCUAGAAGCAGCAAUUCAUGGCAGUUCCACACUCUCUCUCAUAGGCUCCUGCAGUUGGCGGCAGUUUACAUCCAUGACGCACACGUUCUCCGCUACCUUUGUCGCUUAUUUCUUCCCAACCACCCUAGGCCACCCAUUAUAAACCCUCACCCACAUCGCCAAGGACUCCACGUUUACUUUCUUCUUUGUAUUCGCGAAUCAUCCUUCUACACCCUAGACACAAAUUCGAUGAAUCACCUCACUAUCGUUGCAACAUAUUUCAUGGUUUUUUUGUAUUAGGAACAAGAACUAAUUGAUGGAGACGCCAUUAAUGCUUGGACUUCUUGUCAUCAUGGUGAUUAUUUCGAUGAGUAGCCACACUCGGUUGCCUUAAUGUUCAUGGUUUAUGAUCUACAUCACUAUUGGGUUAUAUCGAGUCAAAUUUACAAUGCUGAUGGUGUUGGGAUAACCGAUACGACAGUGUCUUUAUCCCGGUUUAUAUUCCACAUCGCUCUUGGGUUGAAGUAAGUUGGAUUUAUCAAUUUUCCUACUCAUAUGCAUUAUAGGUUUAAAUUAAGUUGGAUUUUUUCAAGUUUCAUUUAAUAUGCAUCACAUAUUGUUACAGACAAGCCAGCAGAAUUGUCAAUUUGACUCGAUUAACAUCUGCUUCUAGAUAUUCAGCUCACUGAUUUGAUGCCCUAAUUUUGACAAACUAAAAAACUAAAAUUGGUAAGGAAAUUCAACAACAUUCAAAGCCAUGUUUUUAUAUGUAGUAUUUCCGUUAUACAUGUAGAUAGGUUGUUAUCACCAUAUAUCUAAAUGGUGGGAUUGUUUUUUUAAUAUGCAAUACGAACUUAUGAUUGAUUAAAAUGCAAUCAUGGUAGUGAUAUGAACACAAUGGAAUCACUCUACCGUCCUUGUAGACAUGUUGUGAGUUCAACCUAUAUGCUUUAUGUAAUUAUACUCAUUUAUUUCUAAUGGUGCUAUGAAAUAGAGUUAUAAAUGAAGGUUUCAGAGGAUAUUAAAUAUGCUGAUAAGAAGCUAAUUGUUUCCUUGGGGCCAAGGUUCACCAAGUCUGAUGUGAAGGACAUUCGGAUUAACCGACAAUACCAGCUGCAGCCAAAACUGUAGGUAUUGUUUAAUUAUUUUCUUAAUGGAUUAAUAAUACUUAAAAUGUAUGCUUUUUAUCUGAUGUUAUACUUCUAUUUCUUUGAGCUUUACAAGAUCAUUUAUGCAUCACAUUUGGUCUUUUUUGAGAAAGAAAGAAAAAAAAGGAAAACUCAUCCAGAUUCUUUUUAUAGAUUUCUUGUUUUUAUUGCACAUGCCAAGUGGAAGCAUGUGUGCUUUUUAUUGUUUGUAUUUGAAUUGAAUGCAGAAUCCUUGAAAAGUUGUAAGCAUUUGAACCACCCGCAACAUUUACAGGAUGUCAAUCCCUCAUCCCCAUUUUUCCUUUUUUAUUGUAUUUUAUAGAGACCAAAUCAAACAAUUUGGAGUAGGGUGAUUUCGACCAAUUUACUAUGAAUGGGUUAGUUUGUUCAAUUGAAUUCCGCUCGGUUAUCAAGAUAACCGAAUUCAUAAUCUAAUUCGGUUUUUUUAGGUCACGGAUACGACCAUGUUUUCAAUUUUUUUCACACCCCCUAGUUUCACAUGUAUCUAUAUUUCAAAUCAUUUUUAUCGUUAUUCCUAUUAUAUUAUAUAUACUUCUAAUUUGCAAUAACUUUGUGCAAUAGGUAGUUGUAACUUUAGCUUUAUUGGUUUUAUAUGCAUAGAUAAAGUGUACAUUUGCUUAGGUUCAUUGUACACUAAAGCUUCCUUUGGAAACUUUAUAUUUCAUAUAAAUUGAAGAGAGAUACAUGAGAGAGAGAGAUGCAG